rnacentral:lncRNA from 1 species
CCACUAUUUUCUCAGAUCCCUACACUCCCUAGGUAGAGAUGUGAAAAUCUCCAUGAUUAGUGAUUUCUAGUGGGUGGUGCGGUCUCACCGACUGGCUCAUCACCUCACCUAACAGUUAUUGAUGAUGGGUCAAUCAAUGAGUGGACAACUUUUAUCCAAUAAUUCUCUAAUCAUGGUACACCCAAAACUUGAUCUCUAAUUUAUGAAGCUCACCAUGUCUGAAAUAUUGCUCCAAUCUUUAGUUAAGUCAGACCCACCAUUUGCAUGAACUAGAUUCCUGAUUGACCCCCUCACUGUA